CUAUUAUAAUAAGUGUUAAUUAUUUAUUGGUUAUUAGAAUUAACUUUAAAUUAUUUAUAGGUUUUAGUAUUUUAUGUAAAAAUAAUUGUUAUUAGUUAUAGUAUAUUAGUACUGUAAAGGAAUAUUGAAAUAAUUGUGAUAAAUUUAUAUUUUAUAAGAAAAUUUUAUUUGUUGUACCUUGUGUAUCAGGGUUUAUUAAAUAUUUAAUAAUUAUUUUAUUUUUCUCGAUUUUAAAGGAGUUAAUUAUACAAUAUAGUUAUUGUUGAAUAAUUAUUAUUAAUGUAUAGUUGGAAAUGAUAAGUUAUUCGUUUUUAAAGGUAUCUAGUUUUUUAAGAAAUAAAUUUAAUUUAGCUAUUUUGAGUAUAAUUUUGAAUUUAAAAAUUAUAUAUUUAUUUUAGUUAUAUUUAGUGGGAUGAGCUAUUAAAUAGAUUGGUUAAAAGAUAUAGUUUUAUUUAUUAAUUUUGUAUGCUUAGGAUUAGCAAUCAAUAUUAAUUUUGUUAUAAAUUAUUUUUGUUAUUUUAUUAUUUAAUUUUAUUUUUAACUGUUGUAUUAAAAAAUUUGUUUUAAUUGUAAUUAUUAAGAUAUAAUGAUAGAAUUAGUAUAUGGUUGUGUAUAUAUAAUUAUUAAAGAGAAUGUGUAAGGUAUUUAUAAAUAACUAGGCAAAUUGAGUAUUCGCCUGUUUAUCAAAAACAUGUCCUUUAGAAUUUGUAUUUAAGGUCUGACCUGCCCGUUGAUUUUAUUAAUAAUUGAAAGGCCGCAGUAUUUUGACUGUGCAAAGGUAGCAUAAUCAUUAGUCUUUUAAUUGAAGGCUGGAAUGAAUGGUUGGACGAAAUACUAGCUGUUUCGUGAAUAUUAAUAUAGAAUUUUAUUUUUUAGUAAAAAAGCUAAAAUUUUAUUAAAAGACGAGAAGACCCUAUAGAUCUUUAUAAUUAGACAUAUUUAAUUUUUUUAAGAAUUUGUUUGGAAUUAAUUUGUUAUAUUAUUUUGUUGGGGCGACAUUAAGAUUUAGUUAACUCUUAAUAUGUUAAGUAACAUUGAUUUAUGAUUUGUUGAUCCUUUAUUAGAGAUUAAUAAAUUAAGUUACCUUAGGGAUAACAGCGUAAUUUUUCUGGAGAGUUCAUAUCGAUAGAAAAGAUUGCGACCUCGAUGUUGGAUUAAGAAAUAUGGCUAGGCGUAGCAGUUUAGUUGAUAAGUCUGUUCGACUUUUAUUUUCUUACAUGAUCUGAGUUCAAACCGGCGUAAGCCAGGUUGGUUUCUAUCUUUAAUUUGGUACAAUAUUUUAGUACGAAAGGACCAGAUAUUGGAAAUAUUUUUUGUUAUUUGAAUAAAAUUAAUAUUUAU
rnacentral:rRNA from 1 species